UACGGAGGGGGCUAGCGUUGUUCGGAAUUACUGGGCGUAAAGCGCGUGUAGGCUGCUUCGCAAGUCGGAUGUGAAAGCCCUGGGCUCAACCCAGGAAGUGCAUUCGAAACUGCAGAGCUGGAGUCCUGGAGAGGAAGGCGGAAUUCUCGGUGUAGAGGUGAAAUUCGUAGAUAUCGAGAGGAACACCGGUGGCGAAGGCGGCCUUCUGGACAGUGACUGACGCUGAGACGCGAAAGCGUGGGGGAGCAAACAGG
rnacentral:rRNA from 1 species